rnacentral:lncRNA from 1 species
AAACUUAUUACCUUAAUCAAAAUAAGAUUUUCUAUUAAAUAUAUACAUAUAUGGUCCUUAAUUCUCUCUUCUAUAAAAAUAGAAUGAAAUAGAUUGGAUGCUGUUAGACUAGCAGCUUAACACUACACAUUUUAUAAUUCUUUUUGUUAGUAUCAUGAUAAGCAAUAGUUUUUAAACUCAAUAUCAACUUGUUCUGUUUUAAUUUCAAAGUGAGAUUGAGAGACUUUCAGGUGAAAUAUCCAAUUAUUUGAAUGUCACCAAUUUCUGGUAUGAAGAGUCUGAACUUCUGAACCAAGAUAAAAUAACACCACGUGAACAAAGAAAACAUGCCAGGUGAGACCUAAAGCCUGUUCCAUUGUCCAUAUAACAUAACAUGUUGUUUCAGGCUUCUGUAAUUCAAUAGAUGUUGAUGAAGUACUUCU